rnacentral:rRNA from 1 species
UACGAAGGGGGCUAGCGUUGUUCGGAAUCACUGGGCGUAAAGCGCACGUAGGCGGAUUGAUAAGUCAGGGGUGAAAGUCCGAGGCUCAACCUCGGAAUUGCCUUUGAUACUGUCAAUCUCGAGUCCGGGAGAGGUGAGUGGAAUUCCUAGUGUAGAGGUGAAAUUCGUAGAUAUUAGGAAGAACACCAGUGGCGAAGGCGGCUCACUGGCCCGGUACUGACGCUGAGGUGCGAAAGCGUGGGGAGCAAACAGG